rnacentral:lncRNA from 10 species
CAACACCUCGUCCACACACCACAGCCCUCAUUUCCUUUUUAUGAAGAUUGGGGAGCAAAAACAUUUCAAAGGCUACCAAUUAAAUGAACCCUGCCGUGCCCAUAACCACAGUGCCCCUUUAGAGAGCCGGAGAGUUACAGAGUCAGUAACUGACAGGCCAGCACAUGUGGUCUUUAUGAUCCUGCAGUUCUUCUCCCAAGAUGUUGGCUGCUUUCCCUUCAUUCUUGAUGCCCUGAGUUCUGCCCAGUCAGUCCAAGGGACAGGGCUCCACCUGGCAUAUUUCCAACUGGCUUGUGCAAAUCAUGUGUGCCCACCUACAGGCCUUGAAUGCUCCACAGUCCAGGAGCCUGUCCUUUAUCAGGGAGCUUUAUCAGGGAGGAAGCUUUAUUGGGGAGGAAGACCAGGUUCUGCACGCUUAACUGCAUGCCUAAGCCUGAUUGUCCUAAAUCCCCUGGAUAGCCCAAGAGCCUUCUGUUUCUCUCCACUCCAUCUCCAUUGCUCAAUUCAGACCUCACUAUCUUCCCUCUGGUAUGUUACAACUGUCCCAUAAAUGAUGCCCCUUCCUCCACCAACUCUGACUGCAAUCUACCCUUUCCAUGACCACCAAAGGGAUCUUUCAGAGAAGGUCCAGAGACAGCUACAUAAAGCAAGACAAAGUGUGAUCGAUGGGCGUUGCAGGAAGGCAUCUUCUGACUCCUCCUGACACGGAGAGCUGCUCGCUACAGAAGGUGUAGAAUCUUUGAGGACAGUGAGCUGUCGGAUGCUGAAAUGUGCAGGCAAGAGGUGAAAACCAUUGGCAGGGGCUGCUGUGGAGGAGAUUCGGGCCUCUUGCAAUAAUAAAGUUAAGUGAAAUCAAAAGAAAUGCUCUUGUUCUCUCCUGGCCCUGAUGGCCCAUGGAAUUGCAUUCUCUCUCUGACUGAUGCUGAGGGCCAGCUCAAUGGCUAAGAAUCCCUCUCGCCUUCUUGAAGCCUGUGUCUCCACAAUAAACCUCCAAAGCUAAUGCAAG